AUCACCUCACUGGCUGAACCUCACCUUCAGCAGCAACCAGUUUCUCUCUGGCUCCUCCCACCACUGCUGAGCUCAGCCAAUGAGAAGGCUCGUCUCUAACAGCAGCUUGAUGAUGAUGAUGAAGGUCUGUUAGUCUUCCUUCUGCUGCAGUGGAUCAUCUCUGUAGAUCUGCUGUCUGUCCUGAACUCCUGGAACAUGUUGCUGUACCUCCUGCUCUUCUCUCUCUACAUCGCCAUGGGCUCCAUGAACACCGUCACACAGGAGCAGAGGGAACACGUCGCUUCAGAGGGAAGCCCCACCAGUUUGAGCUGCGGAUAUACUGGUUCUAUCUAUAAUGUCCAGUGGUACCGACAGCAGCACGGAUCCAGACCAGAGUUCCUGCUCCACAUCACAGAGUCGGGAUCGAUCCAUCCAACUCGCUCCGAUUUCUCAGCUCACAUCGAUAAAACUCAGAAACGAGGAACUCUGCUGAUCUCCUCUGCUGCAGUGUCAGACUCUGCUGUGUACUACUGCGCUGUGGCGCCCACAGUGACAGGAAACACCAGAACC